UGUGUUUGUAUUUCUUCCUAGGCUCAAGUGUGUGGUUGUGAGAUCAUCUCGAAAUCCUUUUAACAGUUCAGGAACAACGUGAUGUAAAUAUGAGACGGGCCCUCGUCCUUCGUGCACUUCCUGUGUACCUGCGUGAAGAUGCCUCCAAGUUUUUCAGGACCUGUAAUUCAGCAGAUGGUCCAGACCUCACUGACACUCCGGUGGCUCUCCUGACAGUUGUCACUGAUGAUACUACUGAUGCGGCCCUCUUCAGCCCUGAGAGCAUCUGUAUUGUCGUGGAAGAUGAAAUACUUGUGAGUGGUCCCACAAACCUGGCUGACUCAUUUCUCUUGCUCUUUGGGUAUGUCUAUGCACUAGACCUACAGUACCCAAAGAAUCUCGAGCUUACAUUCACAUUUAUCCAAAAAGUUGUGAUGUGUCUUGAGGACAACAAACCACUGAAAGGGCGUCUACUGACACUGAAGAAUGAUUUGUUCAAUGAGUGAAUCACUCAGAAUGGACUAUUUGUUGAGCUGAGUAUUGAGGAUGUUUUUUGUUUUUUUCCCCUCUUUACAAAUGUAAUAAUUUGCCUCUUCUACCUCAUGUUUAAUAUGUUACACUGUUUGCCACUUCUACCUCAGAUUUAAUACAUUGAUUGUUAAUAGAUAAAUAUCACAACAUUGACGUAUUGCCAAGCCCAAGUUUUUGUACUGUACUUGUGGGAAACGACUGUUGAAUUCAUGCACUAUACAUGUUUAAUGUUGUGUGACCUAAUGCUUACCUUGAUGUUGCCAGUUGAAGUACGGCACAGUAGAAACCAGUACUUUUAUUUGAAUGUUUUGUUUAAAAAAAGUGAGUUGCAGCCUUCAAGGUACAGUAAGUGCCAAAACGUUUUAAAUGGCUCCACAUUCUAAUAGUUGUCAUUGCUGUUGAGGAUGGAUUAUAAUUAGAAUCUUAUUGAAUUUUAUCAUGAAGCCUUUGAGUUUUUAUCAUAAUGUUUACUGAAUAAUGUGAUAUGGAGACCCAAAAUACUGAAUCUACCCUCUGUAGCAAUGACCACUAUCAGAAUAUGGAACUAUUAAAACUUAAUGUACUU